CAUGUCUCCAAACAGCCACCUUCCCCUAAAAAGAACUACAACCCGUGCUUCCCAGCCCAGCAUAGUUUCCAAUCCCCCAGGAGUCAUCAUAGCAAAAUUUUGUCGAGGGCACUCUCAGUCCCAGAGUCACCAAAAAGGGCACUACAUAAAGGAGUUGGUAAGGCAUCGAAUGAUACCAAGGACUUCAGGGAGCUCCAUGUACCAACAGAAAGAGCUAUCAGUUUAGGUGACCAGGAUUUUCCACCCAUCAUGGAACUCUGCGCCGGAUUUGAAAAUGGCCUUGGCCCGAAAACUUAACUUCCAGCUAACUCGGGCUAGGCACCUCCCACCCGCAUUUUGGACAGAAUUGGCACUCAGAAGGAGAGCUUUCCUGGAAUGGCAUUGAUUUGGG